rnacentral:rRNA from 1 species
GAUGAACGCUGGCGGCGUGCCUAAUACAUGCAAGUCGAGCGAACAGACGAGGAGCUUGCUCCUCUGACGUUAGCGGCGGACGGGUGAGUAACACGUGGAUAACCUACCUAUAAGACUGGGAUAACUUCGGGAAACCGGAGCUAAUACCGGAUAAUAUAUUGAACCGCAUGGUUCAAUAGUGAAAGACGGUUUUGCUGUCACUUAUAGCUGGAUCCGCGCCGCAUUAGCUAGUUGGUAAGGUAACGGCUUACCAAGGCAACGAUGCGUAGCCGACCUGAGAGGGUGAUCGGCCACACUGGAACUGAGACACGGUCCAGACGCCUAAGGGAGGCAGCAGUAGGGAAUCUUCCGCAAUGGGCGAAAGCCUGACGGAGCAACGCCGCGUGAGUGAUGAAGGUCUUCGGAUCGUAAAACUCUGUUAUUAGGGAAGAACAAAUGUGUAAGUAACUAUGCACGGCUUGACGGUAACUAAUCAGAAAGCCACGGCUAACUACGUG